rnacentral:rRNA from 1 species
UACGAGGGGUGCAAGCGUUACUCGGAAUUACUGGGCGUAAAGCGUGCGUAGGCGGUUUGUUAAGUCUGAUGUGAAAGCCCUGGGCUCAACCUGGGAAUUGCAUUGGAUACUGGCAGGCUAGAGUGCGGUAGAGGGUAGUGGAAUUCCCGGUGUAGCAGUGAAAUGCGUAGAGAUCGGGAGGAACAUCUGUGGCGAAGGCGACUGCCUGGACCAGCACUGACACUGAGGCACGAAAGCGUGGGGAGCAAACAGG